GGAUGUGAGGGCGAUCUGGCUGCGACAUCUGUCACCCCAUUGAUCGCCAGGGUUGACUCGGCUGAUCUGGCUGGCUAGGCGGGUGUCCCCUUCCUCCCUCACCGCUCCAUGUGCGUCCCUCCCGAAGCUGCGCGCUCGGUCGAAGAGGACGGCCUUCCCCGAAUAGAGACGGACCAGUCUUCGGUCGAGGGUAUACGAGUAGCUGUGCUCCCCUGCUAGAACCUCCAAACAAGCUCUCAAGGUCCAAACCCCUGGCUGACAUGGGGGGAAUGGCUUUGUGUAUUUGUGUAGUUAAUCUAAUGUAGAAAACAGUGUGGAAGCCAGCU
rnacentral:snRNA from 1 species